rnacentral:miRNA from 1 species
UUAGGGGUGUUUUCCAGUGACU